GAAAGGUCUGCACUGAGAAGUGC
rnacentral:piRNA from 1 species